rnacentral:lncRNA from 1 species
GUCAACAUAAUAUUUAAAUUUUAUAUUAAAUUUAUUUAGAUAUGCUUUUUUUCAUUCUUAAUUUUACCUUAAUUUAUUUUCAAAUAUUUGCAAGUUUUUGUUCAGUGUUCCCUAGUGCAGAACUUUUGGCUUUGCCCCUGCAAAGGCUUCAGAGAGAAAAAAAAAAAAAAGAAAAAAAAAUCUAAAAGCCUAUUUCAUAAAAUUCGUUACUAAAAGGUAACAAAUUGAGUGUAUAUACCAAUUUAAAAAAAAAAAAAAAAAAAGGGAGAUCCUUAUUAAUCCAUGCUUAGAAAAAAAUGUACCGUUAAAAAUAUUUUAAUCAUAAAAUGACACUAAUAAUGUGACGGGAAUAAUAUCCAAAGGGACCUUACAACCAAAUUCUAAUUUUAUCCUUUGAUCAGAUAGGAGUGAUUUUCAUCAACCCAAAAGUGUAAAAAAUAUUCAGAAGCAUAUGCAUUGCAUGCAUAUAUGAAUAGAGUUAGCUAGCUGUCAACCUUUAAAAAUUCAUCGUCAUACCCCAGCAUGAAAAAUACAUUGGGAGGCUAUGUAACAAAGGCCAACCUGGCCUCAAUAAUUUGCUUUUCAGGAUGGUAUUGUUGGGUGAUGCCAUGGAUAGAUAACGUUUGAAGGUGAGCUACAGCUUUCAAAGUCACUGCCACCAUCCCCAAAUACCUCUCUUUUUCCAAUCAAUUUUUCGUCUUGUUUUUUGACCUUUUGGAGAUGUUUGCGUUUGCAUUGAACUUUAAUAAAUAUGUGAUUGUUUUUGAAAGCUCAAGAGCUGCUUUUUUUGGUUUUCCAAAGAGGAAAAACGUUUUAUGUAUUAGUGUGGU